AUUCCAGCUCCAAUAGCGUAUAUUUAAGUUGUUGCAGUUAAAAAGCUCGUAGUUGGACCUUGGGACGUCACGGUCGGUCCGCCUUCUUGGUGUGCACUGGCCCUCACGUCCCUUCUGCCGGCGGCGUGUUCCUGGCCUUAAUUGGCUGGGUCGCGGUUCCGGCGCCGUUACUUUGAAAAAAUUAGAGUGCUCAAAGCAAGCCUACGCUCUGAAUACAUUAGCAUGGAAUAACGCGAUAGGAGUCUGGUCCUGUUCCGUUGGCCUUCGGGACCGGAGUAAUGAUUAAUAGGGACUGUCGGGGGCAUUCGUAUUUCAUUGUCAGAGGUGAAAUUCUUGGAUUUAUGGAAGACGAACCACUGCGAAAGCAUUUGCCAAGGAUGUUUUCAUCG
rnacentral:rRNA from 1 species